UCUUCGUUGUAGCUAUCCGACAAGGAACUUUUGGCCCAUCAUGCUGCGCCAGACCGCCGCGCAGCUCAACACGUAUCUCACGCGGUCCGUCGCGACACCGCCCAUCUCGGUCAUCCGCACGGGGCCGAAGUGGUGGGCCGAGCCGGAGCGAAUGGUGAAGCACAAGGUGAUGUACUUUACCAUGGGCAUCGAUCAGCUGCCGCUGCGCCGCACCGCUGUCAUCCAGAACGACCUGAAGCGCUUCCACAUGUGCAAGCCGCCGCCGCGUGUCGGCGACGCCACCGGGUACAAACGCUCGCGCGGCGCGCAGCUCACGACGUGGUACCGGCGCAUCCAGUAUCAGGAGUACCACCUGCAGCACCUCUUUGUGCGCCACAUGUGGGGCCUGCUGCGCAUGUACCCAGGCAACACAACCAAGAUUCAGGGCAAGGCCGACGAUGGCUACGUCGGCUAUGACUCCGUGCACUUCCAUCGGUACAACCGCUCGCCCCUGCCCUUCCCGGCACGCGAAAUCUACGAGCGUCGCAAGUGAAUGCCUAGCGUUCGUGCUCUCUGAUGCCUCUUUACAGCUUCCUCUUUUCUUUCGUGGUGUGUCUCCCGCUCAGCCUUGUCGCCCGCCGCCGGUGCGGCGGCUUCAGUGCGCGUGUAUCGGGGCGUGUGGGUGUGUGGGUGUGGGUGUGGGUGUGUGGGUGUGUAUCGGUGUCUCAAGGAUGAAGUUCGACGAACAAAACCAUUAACAGCACUACCGCAACGGAAGUCAAGCCUGCCGCCGCCGUGGAGGACGGCGGCAGUAUUCGCAGUCGGC
rnacentral:misc_RNA from 1 species